CCCCCGGUCUGGGGGUAUACUGGGAAUAGUCGGGAAAUGGGCCGUGUUUUUACUUUCUAUGUGGCCACGCAGGGCCGGGUGACCGCAGUGGUUUUGUCUUUGAGCCAAAUUUAGCUGAGAUUGGGCCUUAUAUAGAGUCUCUGGUGUGCAGGGGCAUUUGGCCGGGGUUUUACCAUCAGUUCGUUCCCGCAGGGGAGGGGAUUAGACCCAGGGUUGGCUGGACCGAAAGUCAAAGUCCCCGCUAUUCCCUGGACCUGGGGGCGCCAGGGUUACAAUUGACUGGUGCACAACAUAUAAGAUAUUUAUAAAAUAAAUAAAAGUACAGUUAAUCAAUAAAUUUUAAUGUGGUAAAUUAACAAAGAAUUAGAUAGAUGCUUUAUGCAAAAUCUCACAAAGAUGUAAAAAAAUACAAAGGAGUUCAGGUUUGCUAGUUUGUAAAAAUAUUUCAUGGAAUCAUGGUAAAUUGUUAUAUUAUAUGUCCAAUGACAGCCCAUAUAUUUUCUAACUACUUGAACCUUUCUUGUUAUAAUUCUUAUUAUUUUUUGUUUUAGUUGAUGUGUGAUGCUGAUAAUACAGAGACAGCUAGAGUGACAGAGUUUGAUGAAUAAACUUAAAUUAAAAAACAGAAAUAACCACCAUCUCUCUCAGAGGUCAUCUUUCUCAUUAUUGUGGGGAAACCUCAAAGGGCAUCAGGAAAACCUUCAUCAACCUCUUUGUGCCCAGUGGCUUGUGCAACAGUGUUUCAGAAAUUAUCAUUAAAAUGGGGAUAAUGGAUGACUGGCCACACAUAUGGGGCUAUGGACAAGCUUCAGAGCAGGCUGCCAGGUGGUGGUGUUAGUAGUUUAUACUCCGGGUCCCGGCGUGAGCACAUUGAAGGGUCCCAGAGUGACAGUUCAACCACCGCACACCUAUCCUGGGCAGAACCAGUACUAGGUGCCUUCACCUCUGCAAGGAACUGACAGCUUCUGUACAUGCCAGGUGCAGUGGUACAGUGCGAAUGGUCGUAGAAAGGAUUUCAUAACCAAUCACAACAGAGGUGACCUGGUCCGCCCGGGAAUCGAACCCGGGAUGUCCA